GAAAUGCGAUAAGUAAUGUGAAUUGCAGAAUUCAGUGAAUCAUCGAAUCUUUGAACGCACAUUGCGCCCGCCAGUAUUCUGGCGGGCAUGCCUGUUCGAGCGUCAUUUCAACCAUCAAGCCCCCGGCUUGUGUUGGGGACCUGCGGCUGCCCGAAGGCCCUGAAAAACAGUGGCGGGCUCGCUGUCACACCGAGCGUAGUAGCAUACAUUCUCGCUCAGGGCGUGCUGCGGGUUCCGGCCGUUAAACGACCUUCAUAACCCAAGGUUGACCUCGGAUCAGGUAGGAAGACCCGCUGAACUUAAGC
rnacentral:misc_RNA from 1 species